rnacentral:lncRNA from 1 species
AAGCCAGGUCGGCUCCCUCCCACCAUCCCCCAGACAGGCGUCAGAGAGAAGAGACACGCUGCUUCCAGGACGCGGAAGCUGGGGACAGUCACCUGCCUUGGGAACAGCCGGAGUGCGUCCUCUCCGCGCACUCGAGGGAUCGCGGUUAGGGCAGUUAACUGCGGAGCGGCGCCCUUCAGACCCACAGAAGAGGCGUGGAACAAAGAGGUGCAUAUUCUCAGCUCCUUAGAAGCAUUUACUUAAAGAAGAAGGAAUUGAUUGGAGAUUUGACAAGCAUGCAAUUGCAAAAGUGGGGCCCUGGGUUCACUGGAAAAGAGAAGCUGCAAAUAAAGAGAAAUCGAAGCUAAUUUCAGAGUUAACUGAAGCCUUGGAA